GUCCACGCCAUAAACGAUGUGUGCUAGUUGUCGGGGCCUACGGUCUCGGUGACGCAGCGAAAGCGGUAAGCACACCGCCUGGGGAGUACGGUCGCAAGAUUAAAACUCAAAGGAAUUGACGGGGACCCCGCACAAGCGGUGGAGCAUGUUGUUCAAUUCGAAGCAACGCGAAGAACCUUACCUACACUUGACAUGUCCGGACGAUUCCCAGAGAUGGGUCUCUUCCCGCAAGGGACUGGAACACAGGUGCUGCAUGGCUGUCGU
rnacentral:rRNA from 1 species